UACGUAGGGGGCUAGCGUUGUCCGGAAUCAUUGGGCGUAAAGCGCGUGUAGGCGGCUCGAUAAGUCUGCUGUGAAAGUCCAGGGCUCAACCCUGGGAUGCCGGUGGAUACUGUCGGGCUCGAGUCCGGAAGAGGCGAGUGGAAUUCCUGGUGUAGCGGUGAAAUGCGCAGAUAUCAGGAGGAACACCGGUGGUGUAGACGGCUCUCUGGACCGUAACUGACGCUGAGACACGAAAGCGUGGGUAGCAAACAGG
rnacentral:rRNA from 1 species